rnacentral:tRNA from 1 species
GUGGCGUUGGUGUUUAACGGUCAGCAUAUCGGCCUUCCAAGCCGAGGGUGCCGGUUCGAAUCCGGUACGCCACUCCA